rnacentral:lncRNA from 1 species
AGAAUGGAUACCUAGUACCUAUUGCUAGUGAGAGGUAACAAGUACCCCAUGAAAUUAGUUGCGGCGCACGAAAGCUGGCCCAGACACCACGGUUGUCCGAAAAAACGUGGAAACACAGCAAAUCAGGCUUGAAUAUGACAAAAUCAGGCUUGAAUAUGACAAACUCAACGAUUCAAUAUCAAGUAAACCCAUUUUGAAAGAUAGAAAAUCAAUUCAAUGAUCCAAUUCUUCCAUUGAACCCUUCAAUCUUACAGAACGAAAAUCAAUUCAACGAUCAAAUUC